GCCGGUGUAGCUCAGUUGGUAGAGCAACGCACUCGUAAUGCGUAGGUCGGUGGUUCGAGUCCACUCACCGGCACCA
rnacentral:tRNA from 4 species